rnacentral:rRNA from 1 species
GACGAACGCUGGCGGCGCGCCUAACACAUGCAAGUCGAACGAGCGAGAGAGAGCUUGCUUUCUCGAGCGAGUGGCGAGCGGGUGAGUAACGCGUGAGGAACCUGCCUCAAAGAGGGGGACAACAGUUGGAAACGACUGCUAAUACCGCAUAAGCCCACGGCUCGGCAUCGAGCAGGGGGAAAAGGAGCAAUCCGCUUUGAGAUGGCCUCGCGUCCGAUUAGCUAGUUGGUGAGGUAACGGCCCACCAAGGCGACGAUCGGUAGCCGGACUGAGAGGUUGAACGGCCACAUUGGGACUGAGACACGGCCCAGACUCCUACGGGAGGCAGCAGUGGGGAAUAUUGCACAAUGGGGGAAACCCUGAUGCAGCGACGCCGCGUGGAGGAAGAAGGUCUUCGGAUUGUAAACUCCUGUUGUUGGGGAAGAUAAUGACGGUACCCAACAAGGAAGUGACGGCUAACUACGUG